rnacentral:tRNA from 1 species
CAAGAAAUAGCAUAUAGUGUUGU